rnacentral:rRNA from 1 species
AGUGAACGCUGGCGGUAGGCCUAACACAUGCAAGUCGAACGGCAGCACAGUAAGAGCUUGCUCUUACGGGUGGCGAGUGGCGGACGGGUGAGGAAUACAUCGGAAUCUACUUUUUCGUGGGGGAUAACGCAGGGAAACUUACGCUAAUACCGCAUACGACCUACGGGUGAAAGCAGGGGAUCUUCGGACCUUGCGCGAUUGAAUGAGCCGAUGUCGGAUUAGCUAGUUGGCGGGGUAAAGGCCCACCAAGGCGACGAUCCGUAGCUGGUCUGAGGGGAUGAUCAGCCACACUGGAACUGAGACACGGUCCAGACUCCUACGGGAGGCAGCAGUGGGGAAUAUUGGACAAUGGGCGAAAGCCUGAUCCAGCCAUACCGCGUGGGUGAAGAAGGCCUUCGGGUUGUAAAGCCCUUUUGUUGGGAAAGAAAAGCAGCAGGUUAAUACCCCGCUGUUCUGACGGUACCCAAAGAAUAAGCACCGGCUAACUUCGUG